GAAGGAGUGAAAAUGUUCAUAAAGAAAAAGUUUCAUGCAGGCAGGAAGGCAGGUGAGUGUGAGGGGGAAGCUAGCACUAAGCUAACAGGAAGGCAGGUGAGUGUGAGGGGGAAGCUAGCACUAAGCUAACAGGAAGGCAGGUGAGUGUGAGGGGGAAGCUAGCACUAAGCUAACAGGAAGGCAGGUGAGUGUGAGGGGGAAGCUAGCACUAAGCUAACAGGAAGGCAGGUGAGUGUGAGGGGGAAGCUAGCACUAAGCUAACAGGAAGGCAGGAAAACUCUGGAUGAUGAUGAUGAUGAUGGUCCGUGGAAUUCAUAAUGAACACGUCCUGACAUAUUUUAGUAAUAAUUGUAAUAAGUAAGGGAAAACAAAUAUAACAGUUAGAAAACAGCUAUUGAUACAAUUUAAAGAUAUUUUAAAAAUGACUGGACAUCUUUAAUAAAUACUAUCAGGGACAGUUGUUGCCAAAAUUUUUAAAUGUUCAAUGAUUGCAAUGUUAGGGUUGUGUAGUUGAAGUCUGUCUUUAGUAAUUACUUCAAAUUAACUUAUUGCACUACAACCCUGUUAAGGUGUCCAGGCUUUAUGUUAAAUUAUUCUGUAUCUGUACAUCUGUAUGGUAAACUUAUUGUCAGUAAAUUGGUUUUCAUAGAGGUAAGAAUAAAUCAUACGUUUUCUAU